UCAAAACAUUAUCAUGCAAAAAUCACAUUCUUUAUGAGAAACACACCUCAUAAUAGAAACUCUGUAUCAUAAUAGAAAUUGUAGGUUUCCUUGAUGGGAAACAUACUAAUGGUCAGAUACGCAUCAUCAUCCCAGUUUAAGCCUCUACCGCUACCCAUCACUACUAUCUUGUGCAACCUCUCGUCUUUCUUAUUUCACUCGCUUUUCUGGAGUUUGUCUUCACCAGCGGUAGCAAUAAAAGCAAGUCCAGCUCAAUGCUGUCAGCAACCUAAAAAAAGUUUCAUCUCUGAUGGCAUUUCCAGAUGGCUUGGCAAGUUCUCAUGCGCUUUCUAAUCCUUGUAUAUAUAAAAGAACCAACUUUCUAAGACAAGAAUCAGGCUACUCAUGUAUGUACCUUUUAGUCUCUUCCUCAAAUUUUCUUCUAGAUGGUGCAAAUGGAGAUUCCAAAUAAGAAGGCAUGGUAGAACAUAGUUCCACAUUUAUUCGUGAAAAGAAACAUAAAUUUAGAACAAGUGGAGUACCUUUCGAUUCCUCGUGUACAUCAACGGAUGUCGUCUUUUUUACCGUUAAAUUACUCUUUUCCUUCUCUCCCUCCACCCAAUACCUUUGCCUCUCCGCCUCCCUAACGCAAGUUCACCACAUUUUUCAAUGGUGCUUCUUGCUCGCAAUCACACCUUCCAUCUCCAUCUAGACUUUAACCAUGCAUUGAUUUACAUCUCACACAGUUUAACUUCUCCCUCUCUCACUGCAAUGCAACAUUCUCUCUCAAUGGUGCUUCUAGCUUGCAAUCACACCUUCCAUCUCCAUCUAGACUUUAAUCAUGCAUUGAUUUACAUCUCACACAGUUUAGCUUCUCCCUCUCUCAGGCUCUCUCACUGCAAUGCAACAUUCUCUCUCUCCCUCCCUCGUUACCCUCUUCCAAAUAAACUGCGGCAUUUAAGAAGUAAACAUUAUGUGUGAGAUGUAAAUAGUUGUGCCAGAAGGACAAUAAAGUUUAAUACGGAUGUAUUGGUCAAAAGUAACACCCAAAU
rnacentral:lncRNA from 1 species